rnacentral:rRNA from 1 species
AGUGAACGCUGGCGGUAGGCCUAACACAUGCAAGUCGAACGGCAGCACAGUAAGAGCUUGCUCUUACGGGUGGCGAGUGGCGGACGGGUGAGGAAUACAUCGGAAUCUACUUUUUCGUGGGGGAUAACGUAGGGAAACUUACGCUAAUACCGCAUACGACCUACGGGUGAAAGCAGGGGAUCUUCGGACCUUGCGCGAUUGAAUGAGCCGAUGUCGGAUUAGCUAGUUGGCGGGGUAAAGGCCCACCAAGGCGACGAUCCGUAGCUGGUCUGAGAGGAUGAUCAGCCCAACUGGAACUGAGACACGGUCCAGACCCCUACGGGAGGCAGCAGUGGGGAAUAUUGGACAAUGGGCGCAAGCCUGAUCCAGCCAUACCGCGUGGGUGAAGAAGGCCUUCGGGCUGUAAAGCCCUUUUGUUGGGAAAGAAAAGCAGCAGGUUAAUACCCCGCUGUUCUGACGGUACCCAAAGAAUAAGCACCGGCUAACUUCGUG